rnacentral:rRNA from 1 species
UGGGGAAUAUUGCGCAAUGGGCGAAAGCCUGACGCAGCGACGCCGCGUGAGGGAUGAAGGUUUUCGGAUCGUAAACCUCUGUCAGAAGGGAAGAAACCGCACUGUGCUAAUCAGCAGUGCCUUGACGGUACCUUCAAAGGAAGCACCGGCUAACUCCGUGCCAGCAGCCGCGGUAAUACGGAGGGUGCAAGCGUUAAUCGGAAUUACUGGGCGUAAAGCGCACGUAGGCUGCUUUGUAAGUCAGGGGUGAAAUCCCACGGCUCAACCGUGGAACUGCCUUUGAUACUGCUUAGCUUGAAUCCGGGAGAGGGUGGCGAAAUUCCAGGUGUAGGAGUGAAAUCCGUAGAUAUCUGGGGGAACAUCAGUGGCGAGGGCGGCCACCUGGACCGAUAUUGACGCUGAGGUGCGAAAGCGUGGGGAGCAAACAGG